rnacentral:rRNA from 1 species
GGUAGCCGGCCUGAGAGGGNGUACGGCCACAUUGGGACUGAGACACGGCCCAAACUCCUACGGGAGGCAGCAG